GCCGACGUAGCUCAGCUGGUAGAGCAACUGAUUUGUAAUCAGUAGGUCGCCAGUUCGACUCUGGCCGUCGGCUCAA
rnacentral:tRNA from 2 species